rnacentral:ncRNA from 2 species
ACCUCGGCCGCGUUUCAUGGUUGCCUGCCCUCACCGGCCGGCAUGAAAAGGGAAUCCGGUAACACGCCCGCGCGUGCAAGCCGGAGCUGCCCCCGCAACUGUAUGCGACGAGUCGCGUGCCCAUCUGGCCACUGGAGUCUCUCCGGGAAGGCUGGCACGAGGCGAGGACCCGCAAGCCAGGAGACCUGCCAUGGACAUCACCUUCAU